UCACUCAACUCUAACUCACCUCAGCCACUUCAACUAUUCAUGGUUUGGAUACUAGUAUUUGGACUUUUUCUCCACAUAGGAAGGGAGCCCAAAAACCCAACACUUCCUACCUUUUUCAACAUUUGAAGUGAAAUAAUUGUACUAUUAUAUUUGUUUGCUUGGACUUCUUAUCAUUAGGUGCAGUCUCAGUUGUCUAGUAGAAAAAUGUAGAAAAUAUUAUGGUACAUAUGACACUUCUAAUAUAGAAUGUGAAAAAAAUGGAUUAGAUAUCUCUGAUGUUAUUUUGGAGAUGCAUAGUUGUUGAAGAUGGAAAUUCUUUUUUCUGUUUGAGAAUUCACUUCCUCAGUUUUCAGGUUGCUUGAUUGCUGAAGCUAGAAAUACAUUGAUGUUCUUGAUCUUCAGCAAUCGGCUAUCUUAUUGAAAAUGAAUUGUACAAAAUUGUCUAUCAAUGCUGUCUUGCAGUUUCCUUUUUCCCAUUGCUUUCACAGAUACUAAUUGAAGUUAUGUUUAUCAUCCAGGACUGCAUGUUCGAGGAGAGUGUUUGCCUACUACUUAGGGCUGCAUGGUUUCAACCUCUGAAGGUCGAAAAUCACGUGGAGCAUGAAGAUGCCUAAGAUCCUAUUGAAGAUUUUUAUCAUUAUCAAUAUGAUUAUGAGUAUGAUGACGAGGAUGAUGAAACUUCCAGGAUCCAGGAGGUGCAAGUUCAUCAUCUCGCCAGCCAAAAAAGAAAGAGGCAGCUGAAAAAGUCGCAACAGGUAGACGGGCAAAGAGGGCAUUGAAGCGGGAGGCUGCUGAUAAGGCUGCAGCAGCAAAGCAUCAGCAGCAUCUAGGGGAGGUUGGGCAGGAAGUAAUGCAAUACUUAUGCUGAAGUCAUACCAACUCAAGCCAGGCCUUGAGUACUCUCCUUUCCUUAAAAAAAAGGGUAUUUUUUACUUUUUUUUUUCAAUCUUGUACGGUGUUUAUUUAUUGAACUAGUGUACUAUAAUAUGGGGGGUAAAAAUGAUAGACAAUAAUGUGGCUUUGGUAUGUUGUUAGUAGUUCCAUGGAUUUAGGUGGAGAUGGAACUCUUCAUACACUCUGUUAGGAUUGAACAAUUUAGGUUUGUAAUCAAUUGACUUACUCUAAAUUUUUAAAAGUUGUACAUGAUUCUUUGUCAUGAUUCAUGACUCUAUUAAGGGUUAUUCAUUAUGUGUUCUGCUUUCAAA